rnacentral:rRNA from 1 species
GAUGAACGCUAGCGGCAGGCCUAACACAUGCAAGUCGAGGGGUAGAGUGGUUCGGCCACUUGAGACCGGCGCACGGGUGCGUAACGCGUAUGCAAUCUACCUUGUACAGGGGGAUAGCCCAGAGAAAUUUGGAUUAAUACCCCAUGGUGUUUAAGAGUGGCAUCACUUUUUUACUAAAGUUUAGGCGGUACAAGAUGAGCAUGCGUCCCAUUAGCUAGUUGGUAUGGUAACGGCAUACCAAGGCUACGAUGGGUAGGGGUCCUGAGAGGGAGAUCCCCCACACUGGUACUGAGACACGGACCAGACUCCUACGGGAGGCAGCAGUGAGGAAUAUUGGUCAAUGGUCGGAAGACUGAACCAGCCAUGCCGCGUGCAGGAAGACGGUCCUAUGGAUUGUAAACUGCUUUUGUACAGGAAGAAACACUCCCUCGUGAGGGAGCUUGACGGUACUGUAAGAAUAAGGAUCGGCUAACUCCGUG